GAUGAAGAAUGUAGCGAAAUGCGAUACGUAAUGUGAAUUGCAGAAUUCAGUGAAUCAUCGAAUCUUUGAACGCAUAUUGCGCUCUCUGGUAUUCCGGAGAGCAUGCUUGUUUGAGUAUCAGUAAACACCUCAACUUCCAUAUCUUUUUUGAAAUGGGAGUUGGACUUGAGUGAUCCCAACGCUUUUCCUCACCGAAAAGUGGCGGGUUACUUGAAAUGCAGGUGCAGCUGGACUUUUCUCUGAGCUAUAAGCAUAUCUAUUUAGUCUGCCUAAAAAACAGAUUAUUACCUUUGCUGCAGCUAACAUAAAGGAGAUUAGUUCUUGUGCUGACUGAUGCAGGAUUCACAAAGACGGCUUCGGCCGACUUUGUAAACUCGAUCUCAAAUCAAGUAAGACUACCCGCUGAACUUAAGCAUAUCAAUAAGCGGAGGA
rnacentral:misc_RNA from 1 species